GUCUGCGUACACUCUACCCUCCCCAGACCCCACGUUGUGGGAUUUCACUGGGUAUUAACUGAUUUCUUUGUUAUAUUAUGGGUUAAAGGAUACAUAUAUUUUGAUAAAGUAAAAGGCCCGAAGAUGGUCCAGAAGAUACAUGUAAAAGAAGUGGCUACAAAUCACAGUUAAGAGGGGAUAAACAGCUAAAGAAACAAAAACUAAAAGAGGAGUAAAGAGCUCAUGAAUGGUAUGAGAUAA